rnacentral:rRNA from 1 species
CCUACGGGAGGCAGCAGUGAGGAAUAUUGGUCAAUGGGCGAGAGCCUGAACCAGCCAAGUCGCGUGAAGGAUGACGGCCCUACGGGUUGUAAACUUCUUUUGUCAGGGAGCAAUUGGGUCCACGCGUGGGCUUAGCGAGAGUACCUGAAGAAAAAGCAUCGGCUAACUCCGUGCCAGCAGCCGCGGUAAUACGGAGGAUGCGAGCUUUAUCCGGAUUUAUGGGGUUUAAAGGGUGCGUAGGCGGAAUUUCAAGUCAGCGGUAAAAAUUCGGGGCUCAACCCCGUCGUGCCGUUGAAACUGAUGUUCUUGAGUGGGCGAGAAGUAUGCGGAAUGCGUGGUGUAGCGGUGAAAUGCAUAGAUAUCACGCAGAACUCCGAUUGCGAAGGCAGCAUACCGGCGCCCAACUGACGCUGAGGCACGAAAGCGUGGGUAUCGAACAGGAUUAGAUACCCCUGUAGUC